CAAUGGGCGAAAGCCUGAUGCAGCCAUGCCGCGUGUAUGAAGAAGGCCUUCGGGUUGUAAAGUACUUUCAGUUGUGAGGAAGGGCAGUAAGCUAAUACCUUGCUGUUUUGACGUUACCGACAGAAUAAGCACCGGCUAACUCUGUGCCAGCAGCCGCGGUAAUACAGAGGGUGCAAGCGUUAAUCGGAAUUACUGGGCGUAAAGCGCGCGUAGGUGGUUUGUUAAGUUGGAUGUGAAAGCCCCGGGCUCAACCUGGGAACUGCAUCCAAAACUGGCAAGCUAGAGUAUGGUAGAGGGUGGUGGAAUUUCCUGUGUAGCGGUGAAAUGCGUAGAUAUAGGAAGGAACACCAGUGGCGAAGGCGACCACCUGGACUGAUACUGACACUGAGGCGCGAAAGCGUGGGGAGCAAACAGGAUUAGAUACCCUGGUAGUCCACGCCGUAAACGAUGUCGACUAGCCGUUGGGAGCCUUGAGCUCUUAGUGGCGCAGCUAACGCAUUAAGUCGACCGUCCUGGGGAGUACGGCCGCAAGGUU
rnacentral:rRNA from 1 species